GGAUGCUCAUGGCAGUUAUGGAAGAGAGGAACUAAAACUUCCCAACCCACCAUUUGGAGAUGCCAACUGAAGAGGAGAUUAAGACACAGACACAGAGGAAGACUAUCUGAAGACCAGGAGAAGGCAGCCACCUGCUAAGCUAAGGAGAGAAGCCUCAGAAGAAACCAAACCUGCUGACACCUUGAUCUUGGACUUCUAGACUCCAAAAUGAUCUCUGCCUGCCAGCGUCCUGGGAACCAAAGCACCUAUAAGACUGGUUUUCUUAGAAUAAAAAUUUUAAAUUUUAAA